GAGCAAUCCGCUAAGGAGUCUGUUUACAUUGAGCAGAUGUCAGAGAAUGAACAGGAAUUUCAAUGCCUAUUCUUUCGAUACUCACUUUAUUUCUCUCAAAUAUCGACAUUCUUAAUCUUUAAAUUUAUUAAUAUAUGUUCUUGGACUGAAUCACUUUCAAAGUAUACAUUAUAUKAUUUAAAUAAAGAAAUUGAUCCAUAUUCAUUCAUAUCAAUCCACACUCCACGUCAUUAAUCGAGUCCAAGGAGGAAGGAUAUGGAAACAGAUUACGUUACGUACUGUAGUUCCGGGAUCUGGGACUACUUUUCACAUUGGAAAACAUUGGAGAAGCGCAGUGAUACCAAAGAGAAACGCACCGCAGACAGGUGCAUGACGCAAAACAGAAACCCCAGUAGUAGAAGAUUUGGCUAUUUUUACAACUAAGAAACGCCGUCGGAAAACAUUGGACAGCCUUUGUAAUUGUACAGAAUGACAAUAAGAGUCUGCUAGUAUUCUGAUCUCCCUCUUUCCGAGUGGUUGUCUACACCAACACACAACCUUAUUCAUUCUGCUCUCCUCCGGCAUGUCAGGUAAGGGCUCCCAUCCCUCGAUCCCUCCGUCCUCUCCCUUUUCUUUCCCUUACGCUUCCCUUUCUGAUAGUGCUUUAGAUUAUCCUUCUGCCAGUUUCUCCUAUCAUUUUCCAUUCCGUCUUUCUCUCAAACUUCUCUGUCAGGGUUUGUUUUCCCCCUGUCAGUCUAUUCUCACCUCGCCCCUUUCCCUUCUUUCCUCUCUUGUCCUUCUAUUUUCUUUGUCCCUCACAUUAUUGACUCACAAUCAGUUUAUCAUCACAGUACCUCAUUUUUUAUUCUAUCUCCCUCUUCUCUCAUUCCUUCCCCCUCUGUGUUCCCGGUGGUUACGCUCCAGCCCUGGGGGCCCCUUCUCAGCCCUGACCUCCAGUAUGUGGCCCCAGGACAUCCUGGCCAAGUACUAUCAGAAGGACCCAACAGAGGGGCAGGACUGCAGUAUGAUGAGUUUGGCUUCAGGCUGGACGUGAUGGUAAGAAGAAAACAUGGACUCAAACCUUCAACAUCACAGAUGUAUCACUCAUUGCAAUGCAUCAAUUUGAAUGUGGUUUGCUUCUUUUAAAUGAUAUCGGUCUUUACUCCCAGCAAUAGCAGUCAUUCAGUAGAUUAAGAGUUGACUACCGUGGUGUGUUGCAAUCAGCCCUCUCUUUUCCCUGGAUCAAAACACCGUUGAGUUUGUUCCUUGUUGCACCAAGUCAUAAGCAUUGAUAGGGAAAACUACUCCACAGAUGGUAACCACUGGCUGUCUUUGACUUCGCCAUCUAUUUUUAUCUCCAUAGUUGUGGCAUCUUCCCUAAUUGCGUCCACGAAUCCACCAUUGAAUUGUUAGAAAAAAAUAUGACCCUCCAUAAUAU
rnacentral:lncRNA from 1 species